UUGAAAGAAAUCCAUUGUAGAGAACUGUGAUUACUAGGAUUGCUCACUUCACCAAAUGAGAAUCGACAAGAGAAAUAGUCGUGGCAACGGCACUGAAGAAACCAUAGUAACCUCAUUGUGAAGUAACUACGAAUGGACAAUAAACAAAGCAAGGCGAUAGAUACUCAAGUACAUUGUUUUAUUGAUUUCUGUAUUGUACAGUGUUCAAGUGCACACUGACAGUCUCUGGACAUCACUACAAAGUUGGCUAGCACACUCAUCCAAAGGGUUUAAGUCCGAAGCAAUCAGAAGAACACAAUGAUAAGAUUCGCCGUAUUCACAUACCUUCUUGCAUUUGCUCUGGUAAGUGAAAAGAGUGAAGCCUGCCCGACAAGCAAACUACAAGAGGGUACUUUGCUAGCUUUAUUGCCAGAAAUCAACGAAGAACAAAAGGAAAUGCUGGAUUCGCAUAUGUUUAAAACCUAC